ACGCCUCACUUAGGCUCUCUGAGAACUCGCAGAGGAGCCGAUGAACACAGCGACUGCCUCCUCCGGGCAGGCGGCCGCAGAGGCAGGAGGGCCCGGCCGCUGGCUGCUGCGCUCCCCGGUCCGGCUCUGGUGCGGUUAUAUUUCCCCCAUGAGAACUGUUUUGCCGCCAGUGUGUCCCCAGCACCUGGAACAACUCCCAGACAGCUGAAGAGACGCACACCCCUUGCCCUGCCAUCCCUCCUGUGGGCACAUACCCAACGGAGAUGCGGUCCUGUAGUCACAAUAGAUCAAGACUAGAGUGUUCAUGGCAGCUGGGAACUGGAACCUACCCAAACGUCCACCAGCCGUAGCAUGGGUGAAAGCGCUGUGAUGGGGUCACUUGGUGCUGAGCUACCAGCCAUGAGGACUUAACAAGACUUAAAUGAAACAUAAUGUUGGGCAAAAGAAACUAGACACAAAAGAGCACAUGCCGUAUGGCUCCAUGUCUGGACAGUUAGCGUGGACAGUUUAGAAGCAGGCGUAGGGGGUUAGCGUAACUCUGGGGCUAGUGAGUGAAGGUGUCCUGAGGGGCUCUGGGCGCUGGUGAGGCGCUGUUGUUUGAUCUGAGCGCUGGCUCCGUAGGCAUGUUCAGCUUGCGCUAAUUCAUCCAGUUGUACACUUUUGAGCUUUACAAUUUUCUUAUGUAUGUUUAACUCCAGAAAAAAUGUUAAGGAAAGAAAA